CGGAAUGUAGCGCAGCGGUAGCGCACUGGCUCGGGAAGCUAGGGGUCCCAGGUUCGAAUCCUGGUGUUCCGACCA
rnacentral:tRNA from 2 species